rnacentral:tRNA from 1 species
GCCUGGGUGGCGGAAUUGGUAGACGCGCAGCUCUCAAAAAGCUGUGAAGCUAACACUUCAUGAGAGUCCGAGUCUCUCCCUAGGCACUA